rnacentral:rRNA from 1 species
AAUUAAUACCGUAUGAGGUCACACGAUGGCAUCAGAGUGUGACGAAGGUUUGGCGGACAGGGAUGGGGAUGCGUCCGAUUAGCUUGUUGGCGGGGUAACGGCCCACCAAGGCGACGAUCGGUAGGGGUUCUGAGAGGAAGGUCCCCCACAUUGGAACUGAGACACGGUCCAAACUCCUACGGGAGGCCGCAGUGAGGAAUAUUGGUCAAUGGGCGAGAGCCUGAACCAGCCAAGUAGCGUGCAGGACGACGGCCCUAUGGGUUGUAAACUGCUUUUAUGCGGGGAUAACGUGCACCACGUGUGGUGUAUUGCAGGUACCGCAUGAAUAAGGACCGGCUAAUUCCGUG